UAUACAUGCAGUCGAACGCUUCUUUUUCCACCGGAGCUUGCUCCACCGGAAAAAGAGGAGUGGCGAACGGGUGAGUAACACGUGGGUAACCUGCCCAUCAGAAGGGGAUAACACUUGGAAACAGGUGCUAAUACCGUAUAACAAUCAAAACCGCAUGGUUUUGAUUUGAAAGGCGCUUUCGGGUGUCGCUGAUGGAUGGACCCGCGGUGCAUUAGCUAGUUGGUGAGGUAACGGCUCACCAAGGCCACGAUGCAUAGCCGACCUGAGAGGGUGAUCGGCCACAUUGGGACUGAGACACGGCCCAAACUCCUACGGGAGGCAGCAGUAGGGAAUCUUCGGCAAUGGACGAAAGUCUGACCGAGCAACGCCGCGUGAGUGAAGAAGGUUUUCGGAUCGUAAAACUCUGUUGUUAGAGAAGAACAAGGAUGAGAGUAACUGUUCAUCCCUUGACGGUAUCUAACCAGAAAGCCACGGCUAACUACGUGCCAGCAGCCGCGGUAAUACGUAGGUGGCAAGCGUUGUCCGGAUUUAUUGGGCGUAAAGCGAGCGCAGGCGGUUUCUUAAGUCUGAUGUGAAAGCCCCCGGCUCAACCGGGGAGGGUCAUUGGAAACUGGGAGACUUGAGUGCAGAAGAGGAGAGUGGAAUUCCAUGUGUAGCGGUGAAAUGCGUAGAUAUAUGGAGGAACACCAGUGGCGAAGGCGGCUCUCUGGUCUGUAACUGACGCUGAGGCUCGAAAGCGUGGGGAGCAAACAGGAUUAGAUACCCUGGUAGUCCACGCCGUAAACGAUGAGUGCUAAGUGUUGGAGGGUUUCCGCCCUUCAGUGCUGCAGCUAACGCAUUAAGCACUCCGCCUGGC
rnacentral:rRNA from 2 species